GGACAGAUGGCCGAGCUGGUUAUGGCGCCAGGUUAAGGAUUCAGUCCUAACUCCUGGUCACGAAAGUGGCGUGGGUUCGAGUCCCACUCUGUUCA
rnacentral:tRNA from 1 species